rnacentral:misc_RNA from 1 species
UGUUAAUAUACUUUGUGUAGUUACUUGAAAUUAUGAAUUCAGAUGUACUUUGUGUACAAUAUACUUCAAUCUUUGUGAGUGAGUGAACUGCAAACAAUUUUAAAGAAUUGAAUGUUUAAAUUUUAAGCAAAUGAGCGUUGUUCUUUAAAAUUACCCAAUAAAUGCCUUCUGAUUUGUCCGAACUGCAAGUUGAUGCAUGAUCAUUGAAAUUCAAUUAGUUAUAGGAAUUAGGUUUAUUUGAAAUGCUUAAACUUCAAGAUGAUUUUAUUGAUUUUUGUUUCAGAAAGUAGGAACUGCUUAUCAAUUUUGUGUAAUGAUUAUCAGCAAUAUGCUGUUAUUAUUUUAUUUUUCUUUCUCUAGAAAUGUAGUGUCUGGUGAAAGUAUUAGAUUUACAUACUUGAAUGCAUGAUAUGGC